rnacentral:rRNA from 1 species
CUACGGGGGGCUGCAGUGGGGAAUAUUGCACAAUGGGCGCAAGCCUGAUGCAGCCAUGCCGCGUGUGUGAAGAAGGCCUUCGGGUUGUAAAGCACUUUCAGCGGGGAGGAAGGCGGUGAGGUUAAUAACCUCAUCGAUUGACGUUACCCGCAGAAGAAGCACCGGCUAACUCCGUGCCAGCAGCCGCGGUAAUACGGAGGGUGCAAGCGUUAAUCGGAAUUACUGGGCGUAAAGCGCACGCAGGCGGUCUGUCAAGUCGGAUGUGCAAUCCCCGGGCUCAACCUGGGAACUGCAUUCGAAACUGGCAGGCUAGAGUCUUGUAGAGGGGGGUAGAAUUCCAGGUGUAGCGGUGAAAUGCGUAGAGAUCUGGAGGAAUACCGGUGGCGAAGGCGGCCCCCUGGACAAAGACUGACGCUCAGGUGCGAAAGCGUGGGGAGCAAACAGGAUUAGAUACCCUAGUAGUC